AAUAGAUACCCUGGUAGUCCACGCCGUAAACGAUGGAUGCUAGCUGUUAUGCGUAUCGACCCGUGUAGUAGCGAAGCUAACGCGUUAAGCAUCCCGCCUGGGGAGUACGAACGCAAGUUUAAAACUCAAAGGAAUUGACGGGGGACCCGCACAAGCGGUGGAGCGUGUUCUUUAAUUCGAGGCUAAGCGAAGAACCUUACCAGGGCUUGACAUCCUUGGAAUUUCUCCGAAAGGAGAGAGUACUUUAUUGGACCAAGUGACAGGUGCUGCAUGGCCGUCGUCAGCUCGUGUCGUGAGAUGUUUGGUUAAGUCCAUUAACGAGCGCAACCCUUAUGAAUAGUUGUAUUUUUCUAUUCAGACUGCCCGGUAACGGGAGAAGGGGGGAUGAUGUCAGGUCAGUAUUGCCCUUACGCCCUGGGCUAGAAACGCGCUACAAUGGCCGGUACAAUGCGCUGCCAACCCGCGAGGGGGAGCAAAUCGCAUCAAAGCCGGUCCCAGUUCGGAUAAGAGGCUGAAACUCGCCUCUUUGAAGCCGGAAUCGCUAGUAAUCGGUACG
rnacentral:rRNA from 1 species